AUUGAACGCUGGCGGCAUGCCUUACACAUGCAGGUCGAACGGCAGCACGGGAGCAAUCCUGGUGGCGAGUGGCGAACGGGUGAGUAAAGUAUCGGAACGUGCCCAGUCGUGGGGGAUAACGUAGCGAAAGUUACGCUAAUACCGCAUACGAUCUAUGGAUGAAAGCGGGGGAUCGCAAGACCUCGCGCGAUUGGAGCGGCCGAUAUCAGAUUAGGGAGUUGGUGGGGUAAAGGCUAACCAAGCCGACGAUCUGUAGCUGGUCUGAGAGGACGACCAGCCACACUGGGACUGAGACACGGCCCAGACUCCUACGGGAGGCAGCAGUGGGGAAUUUUGGACAAUGGGCGAAAGCCUGAUCCAGCCAUGCCGCGUGCAGGAUGAAGGCCUUCGGGUUGUAAACUGCUUUUGUACGGAACGAAAAGGUUUGGCCUAAUAAGCUGAGCUCAUGACGGUACCGUAAGAAUAAGCACCGGCUAACUACGUGCCAGCAGCCGCCGUAA
rnacentral:rRNA from 1 species